rnacentral:rRNA from 1 species
CCUACGGGCGGCAGCAGUGGGGGAUAUUGCACAAUGGGGGGAACCCUGAUGCAGCGACGCCGCGUGAGUGAAGGAGUGUUUCGGCAUGUAAAGCUCUAUCAGCAGGGAAGAAGAAAGAGGGUACCGAACUAAAAAGCCCCGGCAAACUACGUGCCAGCAGCCGCGGUAAUACGUAGGGGGCAAGCGUUAUCCGGUUUUAUUGGGUGUAAGGGGAGCGUAGACGGCGGUGCAAGGCUGAAGGGAAAGCCCAGGGCUCAACCCUGGGACUGCUUUGGAAACUGUUGAGCUAGAGUGCUGGAGAGGUAAGUGGAAUUCCUAGUGUAGCGGUGAAAUGCGUAGAUAUUAGGAGGAACACCAGUGGCGAAGGCGGCCUACUGGACAGUAACUGACGUUGAGGCCCGAAAGCGUGGGGAGCAAACAGGAUUAGAUACCCCUGUAGUC